rnacentral:rRNA from 1 species
GCCAGCGGGGAUAGCAUGUUGAAUGUACUAGUUCCCGAUGGAUCACUGAAGUUAAGUAACGUUGUGCUUGUUUUGUAUCCAGAUGGGUGACUCUCUGGAUAAUGUUUUUAUAUAGGUA